UACGGAGGGGACUAGCGUUGUUCGGAAUUACUGGGCGUAAAGCGCACGUAGGCGGAUUUGUAAGUCAGGGGUGAAAUCCCGGGGCACAACCUCGGAACUGCCUUUGAUACUGCAAAUCUCGAGUCCGGAAGAGGUGAGUGGAAUUCCUAGUGUAGAGGUGAAAUUCGUAGAUAUUAGGAAGAACACCAGUGGCGAAGGCGGCUCACUGGUCCGGUACUGACGCUGAGGUGCGAAAGCGUGGGGAGCAAACAGG
rnacentral:rRNA from 1 species